rnacentral:lncRNA from 1 species
AACAAGACAAGUACAUACAAUUAACAGACAGAACAUGACGCAAGUAAGCGGAUGUCGUUCAUCGUACAAGUCACAACAUCAUCGACGACAAUGUUCACAGCGUCACUCGACUUGAGUCAAUAUGCCUUACAACUAACUGGAACCUAAACAUAUAUGAUGAGAUGCGCUCUACCCCGGCACACAGGCUAUAGGCAUCUGUACAUUUGUUUAUAUACACAUACAAGGAUACAACAUUUAUUAAUUUGAAUUAUGCAGGUCAACUCGAGAAAUUCCGAUUUCAGGGAGACACCUAACUUAUGCUGCGAGAUUCAGUGCAGCUGUGGGGGGACAGACAUGCAGGCCCGACAUCCGCUCCGCUUUAGCCUCAAAGCAGCGUGUCAUGGUACCAAUUGUUAUACAGACGCCCAAACUGGAGGAGGCUACCAUAUGUUCUAUCC